rnacentral:rRNA from 1 species
GUCGUACAGGUCUCCGUAGGUGAACCUGCGGAGGGAUCAUUACACAAAUAUGAAGGCGGGCUGGAACCUCUCGGGGUUACAGCCUUGCUGAAUUAUUCACCCUUGUCUUUUGCGUACUUCUUGUUUCCUUGGUGGGUUCGCCCACCACUAGGACAAACAUAAACCUUUUGUAAUUGCAAUCAGCGUCAGUAACAAAUUAAUAAUUACAACUUUCAACAACGGAUCUCUUGGUUCUGGCAUCGAUGAAGAACGCAGCGAAAUGCGAUAAGUAGUGUGAAUUGCAGAAUUCAGUGAAUCAUCGAAUCUUUGAACGCACAUUGCGCCCUUUGGUAUUCCAAAGGGCAUGCCUGUUCGAGCGUCAUUUGUACCCUCAAGCUUUGCUUGGUGUUGGGCGUCUUGUCUCUAGCUUUGCUGGAGACUCGCCUUAAAGUAAUUGGCAGCCGGCCUACUGGUUUCGGAGCGCAGCACAAGUCGCACUCUCUAUCAGCAAAGGUCUAGCAUCCAUUAAGCCUUUUUUUCAACUUUUGACCUCGGAUCAGGUAGGGAUACCCGCUGAGCUUAAGCAUAUC